AUUGAACGCUGGCGGCAGGCCUAACACAUGCAAGUCGAGCGGAUGAAGGGAGCUUGCUCCUGGAUUCAGCGGCGGACGGGUGAGUAAUGCCUAGGAAUCUGCCUGGUAGUGGGGGAUAACGUCCGGAAACGGGCGCUAAUACCGCAUACGUCCUGAGGGAGAAAGUGGGGGAUCUUCGGACCUCACGCUAUCAGAUGAGCCUAGGUCGGAUUAGCUAGUUGGUGGGGUAAAGGCCUACCAAGGCGACGAUCCGUAACUGGUCUGAGAGGAUGAUCAGUCACACUGGAACUGAGACACGGUCCAGACUCCUACGGGGGGCAGCAGUGGGGAAUAUUGGACAAUGGGCGAAAGCCUGAUCCAGCCAUGCCGCGUGUGUGAAGAAGGUCUUCGGAUUGUAAAGCACUUUAAGUUGGGAGGAAGGGCAGUAAGUUAAUACCUUGCUGUUUGGACGUUACCAACAGAAUAAGCACCGGCUAACUUCGU
rnacentral:rRNA from 1 species